rnacentral:rRNA from 1 species
CGGGGUGCGACAGGCGCGAUAACUUUACAAUGCUUGAAACCGUUGAUAAGGGGACGCCGAGUGCCAGCAUCAUAUGCUAGGCUGUCCAGGUGUGUAAAAUACACCUGUUAGCAAGGGCCGGACAAGACCGGUGCCAGCCGCCGCGGUAACACCGGCGGCCCGAGUGGUGAUCGUGAUUAUUGGGUCUAAAGGGUCCGUAGCCGGUUUGGUCAGUCCUCCGGGAAAUCUGAUAGCUCAACUAUUAGGCUUUCGGGGGAUACUGCCAGACUUGGAACCGGGAGAGGUAAGAGGUACUACAGGGGUAGGAGUGAAAUCUUGUAAUCCCUGUGGGACCACCUGUGGCGAAGGCGUCUUACCAGAACGGGUUCGACGGUGAGGGACGAAAGCUGGGGGCACGAACCGGAUUAGAUACCCGGGUAGUCCCAGCCGUAAACGAUGCUCGCUAGGUGUCAGACAUGGCGCGACCGUGUCUGGUGCCGCAGGGAAGCCGUGAAGCGAGCCACCUGGGAAGUACGGCCGCAAGGCUGAAACUUAAAGGAAUUGGCGGGGGAGCAC